ACGUCAUGAAAGUCGGUAACACCCGAAGCCAGUGGCCUAACCUUUUGGAGGGAGCUGUCGAAGGUGGGAUCGGCGAUUGGGACGAAGUCGUAACAAGGUAGCCGUACCGGAAGGUGCGGCUGGAUCACCUCCUUUCUAAGGAGCACCACGAGAAACAUCCCAAUUGGUGGGGUGUGAGCCGUGAGGGGUUCUCGUCUGUAGUGGACGAGGGCCGGGUGCACAACAGCAGGCAAAUCGCCAGACACACUAUUGGGCCCUGAGGCAACACUCAGUUCUUCCGAGUGCUGUCCCUCCAUCUUGGUGGUGGGGUGUGGUGUUUGAGUAUUGGAUAGUGGUUGCGAGCAUCUAAUGAAUGCGUUGCCCGCGCGGUGACGUAUUCGUUUGUGUAAUUUUUUUAAUUCUUGUGUUAGUAAGUGUUUAAGGGCACAU
rnacentral:rRNA from 1 species